GAGGGGCAUGGCGUCCUUCAAGACUGGCAUGGCUGGACCUCCUGCACCCCCAGGGGAGAUCAGAGUCACCAGGCUCCCUCGCCCCAGCUGGCUCCAGGAGCCCCAUGGCCACAGCAGCCUCGGAAGCCACAGCCCAGGGUGGAAGGAAAGAAGCUCCAAUGUGACAUCAUAGAGGUUGAGGAGAAUGGAGGCUAGGGGCUCUUCAGCAGAACUGUCUGCAGCCAGUGACCAGAACUUCCAACAGCAACCCCAUCCCCAUCCCCCCCCACACACACACACACACUUGUGCCAGGGACUGAGCGGUCCUGCCCUAUGAGGGCUGGCUUCAUGACACAAGUCUGGUCAAUGAGACAAAGGGGAUGUCUGCUGAGGAUUCUCAGAAAAGAUUUGCCUUGUCCUCUUCUUCUGGUCUUGAACCUAGAUGUGCUGGCUGAAGGUGACACCAAAGACCUGCUCUGCCCCCGCAUGACCUGUGACAUGGCACUACCACACGUAGAAGGACGUUAACGCACAGAUAUAAUUAACAUGCUCCGUAUUUUCUUAUGUGUUCAACAAUAUUGUAAGAGCUGCCCUAUUUAUUGGGCCCACAUUGUGGGGUUAAUUACCAGUCAAGUCUUUAUGGAAUAAUUAUGGGGACCCAUCACUUAUAUACCUCACCCCAGUAGAGAUUCCAUUCUCCUCCAUUCUGAUAACGUUAGCUCCUGGAACAAGUUAAUGUGCCUUGUCAUCAACAUAUGGUUUCUCUGCUCCUUUCCGUUUUGUGUGAAGCUGCAGACCAGAGAUGGGGUCUUCUGGAAGAAACAUCGAAGGACAUAAAGGGAUACAGGGAAUAGACACACGAUUACAGACUUCCGUAGAAUAAGCUGAUGUGACCACGGAGCAGACACCUCACUGUCGAUCAAUCCCUGGAUUCCAUCCUCCAAAAACCUCCUUCUCCCCCAGUGCUGUUCAUCCCAGUCAUCAGGACCAUCAUUCACCCUGUUGUUCAGAUCAAACCCAUGGAGUCGCCUGACUCCUGUCCUUAUCUCAUCCAAUCCACCAGCUCUGCCAUCAAAAUAGAAUCUCUCAAGUCCAAGCCA